rnacentral:sRNA from 1 species
GAUCCCGGAGGUCAACAUCCGACGGCGCGUUGCGUUCUCGGGUGGCGUUUUG